rnacentral:rRNA from 1 species
AACUUUUGACCUCGGAUCAGGUAGGGAUACCCGCUGAACUUAAGCAUAUCAAUA